rnacentral:tRNA from 1 species
AGUAAGGUCAGCUAAAUAAGCUCUUAGGCCCAUACCCUAAAAAUGUAGGUUAAAUCCCUGCCUUUACUA